GGAGGGGUGGCAGAGCGGACGAAUGCGACGGUCUUGAAAACCGUUGAGGGGCAACCCUCCGGGGGUUCGAAUCCCCCCCCCUCCGCCC
rnacentral:tRNA from 1 species